rnacentral:lncRNA from 1 species
CCGACUAGGACGAGACAAGAGGGACAGGGAGGCUUCGCGGAACCCUACGCCCACCCGACGCGUUCGCCCGUCCGUUUUUAUUUUUAUUUUUAUUUUGGUUUUUUUGUUGUUGUUCUCUUCUUUUGUCUUUUUUUUUUCUUUAGAGACGGGGUCUAGCUAUGUUGGCCAGGCUGGUCUCGAGUCCCCGGGCUCAAGCGAUCCUCCCGCCUCAGCCUCCGGAAAAGUGGGACUACAGGCGCGCAUCGCCGCACCCGGCCAAUCCCUGUUUUAAUCCUUUUCCUUAAAAUUGCAAAAGUGGUGUCUUUUUCCUGCAGAUGGACCCUCCCUGAUACAGGUGAGAGGAGACUGUAAUCCCUUAGAACGAGGAGUGAAGCGGGCUCAGGAUAGCAUCUAGGGGAACACCCAGCACUUACAUUGGGCAGGAGGAGAAGGGUCCAGAAAAGAGAUCGGACAAGGAGCAAUCAAAGAGGAAGGAGAAAACCCAGAGCGAAGCGUGGCAUCAAAGACACCCUAACGGGCCGGGCGCUGUGGCUCACGCCUGUAAUCCCAGCACUUUGGGAGCCCGAGGCGGGCGAAUCAUGAGGUCAAGAGAUCGAGACCAUCCUGCACAACAUGGUGAAACCCCAUCUCUACUGAAAAUACAAAAAUUAGCUGGGCAUGGUGGUGCACACCUGUAGUCCCAGUUACACGGGAGGCUGAGGCAGGAGAAUCACUUGAACCCGCGAGGCGGAGGUUGCAGUGGGCCGAGAUCGCGCCACUGCACUCCAUCCUGGGCGACAGAGUGAGAGUCCAUCUCAAAAAAAAAAAAAAAAAAAGAUUGUAGUCAUGAUUGUCACAUGUGAUUCAGACUAGGACUAGGAUAGUGGCAGUUGAGCUGGAGAGAGGAAGUGGGUCUGACAAUACAGUCAAAGAAGAUUGUAGCUUUUGGGUCUCUCUGAGUUGGGGACUGGGAGACGAGGUCACUUGGGGGCUCACUGAGUUUCGGGUGCUUAGGGAAACCCCCAAGUGGCCAUUUCCAGGCCUUAACUAGCUGAGGAGAGAGGUUUUCACUGGAGCUUCACUGUAUCCCAGGAGAAUCCAGCAAACUUAAAAAGGAAAGCAUGUCUAUUAUGUUUCUGUUACUUUUGUUACAUAGUUUCAAGGCAAAUACUUCCUCUGGAAUGCGGAAGGCAAUCUUGCCUCCGCCAGGACUCUGUUGCUGAGCUGCUUCCAUGCUUAGGGAAGAAACCCACCUGUGGCUGCUUUUAUUCUUCCCUGCAUUGCUAGGGGUCCCUGGAGUGAUGGCCCUGGAGGCUUCCUGAAGCACCUGCUAUGGGCCAGGCACCUGGACUCUGCCCCGGAAGUUGACAGUUUGGUCUAGAGGACAUGCAGGACAGCAGGUCAUGAUACAGGGUCAUGAAUAUUCCAAAGGUUGAGACAUGGGACUGGGAGGGAUGUAAGGAGAGGGGCACCGAUGAAGCUGCUCCCACCAGGAGGUGAUAUCUAAACUGAACCAAUCACCAAAUGUUGACAGCACCAAUGAGCACCUUCUGUCUGGGGACUUCAUCUUUAGGGAGGAGAAAAAGAGACAGACACAGGGAGGAGAGCACUGCACGCAGCUGAAGGCAGAGAUUGGAAUGACACCUCUGCAAGCCAAGGAACACGGAGCAUUGCUGGGAACCACCGGAAGAAGCCAGAAGACAGGCCUGGAGCUGGCUUUCCCUCACAGCCCCAGAAGGAACCCACCCUGGUGCCACCUUGAUUUCGGACUUCUGGCCUUCAGAACUGGGAGAGAAUAAAUUUCUGUUGCUUUAAA